rnacentral:ncRNA from 1 species
GUGUUGUAUGAAUGGAGAAAAGGUUAGCACUCCCUUGACGAGGAUGGAAGAGGCGCUCUGGUCUGUACAGCACACACACGGUUAAAGCAUUGCCACCUACUUUGUGGCAUCUGACCAUUGUUUUUG